rnacentral:misc_RNA from 1 species
AUUUGACACAAUGAAACACAAAUUUGAACCUGAUGAAUGCUUCAAGGUUGACAUAAUUGACGAACAAGUUAAAAAGAAAUUUCAUAAGAAACAUCCUAAAGAUGCUCUUGAAGCAUGUAUUGUGCAUAGCCAUAUAGUGGAUGAUGAAAAUACAGAAAUAGCAGCCUGUACACAACAGUUAGCAGCUCAUCCACCCCUACCCUUAGCUAAGGCAUCCGAGAUGGAGAAGUUGAAGGAGGAACAAACCAAAGGUAAGCUCCAGGAAGACGCCAAAUAGGUAGAGCUUAAACCUCUCCCCUCCUCACUAAGGUACGCAUUUCUGAACUUAAAUUCUAAACAUAAGUUAGAAGAGGAAAAAUUGUUAAGAGAACUUAGGAUCCAUAGCAAAGCCAUAGGAUAUAAAAUAGAAGACCUGAAGAGAAUUAACCCUUCGAUUUGUAUGCAUAGGAUACCUAUGGAAGAAAACAGUAAACCCACAAUCAAACGCCAAAGAAGACUUAACCCAAACAUGAAAGAAGUGGUCAAGAAAGAAAUUUUAAAACUAUUAGAUGCAGGUAUCAUAUACCCAAUUUCUGAUAGUAAAUGGGUUAGUCCCGUUCAUGUAGUUCCUAAGAAAGGUGGGACAACUGUUAUCCAAAAUACAAACAAUGAACUAAUCCCUACUAGAGUAGUCACUGGAUGGCGAAUGUGCAUAGAUUAUAGGAAAUUGAACAGUGCUACUAGAAAAGACCAUUUCCCUCUUUCCUUCAUCGACCAAAUGUUAUAAAGGUUAGCAAAACACUCUUAUUUCUGUUAUCUAGAUAGGUAUUCGGGAUUCUUUCAAAUUCCUAUUCACCCAGAAGACCAAGAAAAGACAAUAGUCACUUAUCCCUAUGGAACAUUUGCAUAUAGGAGAAUGCCUUUUGGUCUUUGUAAUGCCCCUACAACCUUUCAAAGAUGCAUGAUGGCUAUCUUUUCUGAUUAUAUUGAAUUGAAAAUAUCAUGGAAGUUUUUAUGGAUGAUUUUUCUGUCUAUGGAAUUACUUUUGAUGAUUGCCUAGCUAAUUUAUCUAAGGUGUUGCAAAGAUGUGAGGAAUCAAACCUGGUCCUAAAUUGGGAAAAAUGAAAAAUGCCACUUCAUGGUAAGGGAAGCCAUAGUUCUGGGACAUUUGAUAUCAGAAAGAGGAAUUGAAGUUGAUAAGGCAAAAAUUGAGAUCAUUGAAAAUAUGCCACCCCUAACAUCAGUCAAGGGAGUGUGAAGCUUUUUAGGACAUGCAGAAUUCUACAGAAGAUUCAUUAUGGACUUUUCCAAAAUAUCUAAGCCACUGAACAACUUAUUAAGUCAAGAUGUUCCCUUUGAUUUUGAUGAAAAAUGCCUUGUCUUCUUUAACAGAAUCAAAGAAGCCCUGAUAUCAGCACUAAUAAUGCAGCUACCAAAUUAGGAGCUACCAUUUGAGGUGAUGUGCGACGCGAUUGACU